rnacentral:rRNA from 1 species
CUUUCUCCGCCGGCGACCGGCGCACGGGUGAGUAACACGUAUGCAACCUGCCCCUGUCAGGGGGACAACCCGCCGAAAGGCGGGCUAAACCCGCGUACAUGCCACCGGGGCAUCCCGGAGGCAGGAAAGGCUUCGGCCGGACGGGGAUGGGCAUGCGGCGCAUUAGGCAGUAGGCGGGGUAACGGCCCACCUAACCGACGAUGCGUAGGGGUUCUGAGAGGAAGGUCCCCCACACUGGUACUGAGACACGGACCAGACUCCUACGGAAGGCAGCAG